rnacentral:rRNA from 1 species
UGCGCAGGCGGAAUAAUAAGUCAGUGGUGAAAUCUCUCGGCUCAACCGGGAAACUGCCAUUGAUACUGUUAUUCUUGAGUACAGUUGAAGUGGGCGGAAUGUGUCAUGUAGCGGUGAAAUGCUUAGAUAUGACACAGAACACCGAUAGCGAAGGCAGCUCACUAAGCUGUAACUGACGCUCAUGCACGAAAGCGUGGGGAUCAAACAGGAUUAGAUACCCUGAUAGUC